rnacentral:rRNA from 1 species
AGAGUUUGAUCCUGGCUCAGGACGAACGCUGGCGGCGUGCUUAACACAUGCAAGUCGAACGGUGAAGUCCCUUCGGGGGCGGAUCAGUGGCGAACGGGUGAGUAACACGUGGGCAAUCUGCCCCUCACUGUGGGAUAACUCCGGGAAACCGGGGCUAAUACCGCAUAUGAAGCCUGGCGGCAUCGCCGGGUUUGGAAAGUUUUUCGGUGAGGGAUGAGCCCGCGGCCUAUCAGCUUGUUGGUGAGGUAAUGGCUCACCAAGGCGACGACGGGUAGCCGGCCUGAGAGGGCGACCGGCCACACUGGGACUGAGACACGGCCCAGACUCCUACGGGAGGCAGCAGUGGGGAAUAUUGGGCAAUGGGCGAAAGCCUGACCCAGCGACGCCGCGUGCGGGAUGAAGGCCUUCGGGUUGUAAACC